ensembl:lncRNA
GGCAGAGAACUCUCUUCUGUUCGCCGUGUCACCAGUCAGUGUCACUGUCUCCGACAACCACCAAGAGACUAUUUAUUUAUUUAUUUUUCAGUCCCCGGUACACCCAUUGUUUUAGGGCAUCCCUGGCUUAUUCAACAUAAUCUUCAGAUUGACUGGGUCAAGGGGUCUAUUCAUACAUGGAACUUAUCUUGUCAUGUUAAUUGUCUGGUAUCUGCUCUCCGUGCUGUGUCUUCUGUUUCUGUGUUUCAGGAGGAACCUGAUGAUUUGUCUGGAGUCCCGGAGGAGUACCAUGAUCUGCGAGCGGUUUUCAGCCGUUCUCGGGCUGUUUCUUUACUGCCUCACCGGCCGUACUACUGUAGUAUUGAACUUCUCCCUGGCACUAUACCUCCUCACAGUAGAUUGUACUCCCUUUCGGCACCCAAGUGUGAGGCUCUGGAGAAGUAUCUUACGGAAUCACUCGACGCAGGAAUUAUUGUUCCAUCCUCGUCUCCCGCCGGCGCGGGUUUUUUCUUUGUAAAGAAUAGAGAUGGCUUUUUGCGUCGCUGUAUCGACUAUCGAGGCCUGAACAACAUAACAGUCAAGAACCGUUAUCCCUUGCCUCUUAUGUCAUCAGCCUUUGAGAUCCUGCAAGGCACAAAGAUAUUUACUAAGUUAGACUUGCGCAACGCCUACCAUUUGGUGCGUAUCAAGGAGGGCGACUAGUGGAAGACCGCGUUCAAUACUCCCGUUGGCCACUUUGAAUACCAGGUUUUACCUUUCGGCCUGGUCAACGCUCCCGCUGUUUUCAGGCCUUGGUUAACGAUGUCUUGAGAGACAUGCUUAACGUUUUUGUGUUCGUAUACUUGGAUGACAUUUUAAUUUUUUCACCCUCCCUCCAGGUACACAUUCAACACGUUCGCCGUGUCCUGCAGUGUUUGCUAGAGAAUCGUCUAUUCGUUAAGGCUGAGAAGUGCGUCUUUCACGCUAAGUCGGUUACAUUUCUCGGUUCGGUAGUUUCUGCGGAGGGGAUCAGCAUGGACCCUGACAAGGUUCGAGCUGUUC